CCUACGGGAGGCAGCAGUGAGGAAUAUUGGUCAAUGGGCGGGAGCCUGAACCAGCCAAGCCGCGUGAGGGAAGAAGGUACAGCGUAUCGUAAACCUCUUUUGUCAGGGAACAAAGGCGGGGACUAGUCCCCGGCUGAGGGUACCUGAAGAAAAAGCAUCGGCUAACUCCGUUCCAGCAGCCGCGGUAAUACGGAGGAUGCGAGGGUGAUCCGGAUUUAUUGGGUUUAAAGGGUGCGCAGGCGGCCUGUUAAGUCAGCGGUAAAAGCCCGGGGCUAAACCCCGGCGAGCCGUUGAAACUGGCGGGCUGGAGUUGGAGAGAAGUACGCGGAAUGCGCGGUGUAGCGGUGAAAUGCUGAGAUAUCGCGCAGAACCCCGAUUGCGAAGGCAGCGUACCGGCUCCAAACUGACGCUGAGGCACGAAAGCGUGGGUAUCGAACAGGAUUAGAUACCCGUGUAGUC
rnacentral:rRNA from 1 species